rnacentral:rRNA from 1 species
GUACAGAAGAGAGAAUGCCGGUAUAAGUACACGAUAAGGCAGGUGAGAAUCCUGCCCGCCGGAAGUCUAAGGAUUCCUGGGGAAGGCUCGUCCGCCCAGGGUAAGUCGGGACCUAAGGCAAGGCCGAAAGGCGUAGUCGAUGGAAAACGGGUAGAUAUUCCCGUACCACCAGUAUAUGAUGACGAAGCAGUGACGCAGAAAGGUAGAGCGAGCGCCCAGUUGGUGAGGCGUUCAAGUGAGUAGGGAGAAGUGCAGGAAAGACCACACUUCGUAAUCCUGAGACACGAUGACGAGUGAAAAAUAGUAACGAAGUCCUUGAUCCUCCGCUGCCAAGAAAAGCUGCUAAGGAAUAUACAGGUGCCCGUACCGCAAACCGACACAGGUAGACAGGUAGAGAAUACUAAGGCGCGCGAGAUAACUCUUGUUAAGGAACUCUGCAAAAUGAACCCGUAACUUCGGGAGAAGGGUUGCUCCCUAAUGUGAGUACGAACAAUACAGAGCAUAGGGGAGUCGCAGUGAAAAGGUCCAGGCGACUGUUUAGCAAAAACACAGGUCAUUGCAAAAUCGUAAGAUGAAGUAUAAUGGCUGACGCCUGCCCGGUGCUGGAAGGUUAAGGGGAAGAGUGCAAGCUUUGAACUGAAGCCCCAGUAAACGGCGGCCGUAACUAUAACGGUCCUAAGGUAGCGAAAUUCCUUGUCGGGUAAGUUCCGACCCGCACGAAAGGCGAAACGAUCUGGACGCUGUCUCAACAAGGGACUCGGUGAAAUUGAAAUACCGGUAAAGAUGCCGGUUACCUGCGAUAGGACAGAAAGACCCCAUGGAGCUUUACUGUAGCCUGAUAUUGGGUUUCGGAUAUUUAUGUACAGGAUAGGUGGGAGACAGAGAAACAUGUACGCCAGUAUGUGUGGAGUCAUUGGUGGGAUACCACCCUUAGAUGUUUGGAAUUCUAACAAGCAGUCUUGAAACAGAUUAUUGGACAGUGUCAGGCGGGCAGUUUGACUGGGGCGGUCGCCUCCUAAAAGGUACGGAGGCGCUCAAAGGUUCCCUCAGAACGGAUGGAAAUCGUUCGAAGAGUGCAAAGGCAGAAGGGAGCUUGACUGCGAGAGCAACAACUC